GGUUUCUUGAUAAAAAUGGGAAAUUUGACCUGCCCACUGAAAUAUUUUGAAGGGCCGCAGUAUUUUGACUGUGCAAAGGUAGCAUAAUCAUUAGUCUUUUAAUUGAAGGCUGGUAUGAAUGGUUGGACGAGGUAAAAACUGUUUUGUAAUAAUUUUAAUUGAAUUUAGAUUUUAAGUAAAAAGACUUAAAUAUUGUUGAGGGACGAGAAGACCCUAUAGAGUUUAAUAUUCGUAUUUUUAAUUGAGUUAUGAAUGAAUAUUAAAUUAUUUUAAAGUUUAUUUAAUUGGGGUGAUUGAAAAAUAGGAAAAACUUUUUUUUGAAUUUGAUAUUAUGAGUAGGUUAAUGAUCCAUUUAUAGUGAUUAUAAGAUUAAAUUACCUUAGGGAUAACAGCAUAAUUCUUUUUAAGAGUUCAAAUCGAAAAAAGGGAUUGUGACCUCGAUGUUGGAUUAAGAUUAAAUUUGGGUGUAGAUGUUCAAAAAUUAAGUCUGUUCGACUUUUAAAAUCUUACA
rnacentral:rRNA from 1 species